rnacentral:rRNA from 1 species
UACGAAGGGGACUAGCGUUGUUCGGAAUUACUGGGCGUAAAGCGCACGUAGGCGGAUUUGUAAGUCAGGGGUGAAAUCCCGGGGCUCAACCUCGGAACUGCCUUUGAUACUGCAAAUCUCGAGUCCGAUAGAGGUGGGUGGAAUUCCUAGUGUAGAGGUGAAAUUCGUAGAUAUUAGGAAGAACACCGGUGGCGAAGGCGGCCCACUGGAUCGGUACUGACGCUGAGGUGCGAAAGCGUGGGGAAGCAAACAGG